rnacentral:pre_miRNA from 1 species
CCAUGAUGAUGAGGAUGAUGAUGAUGAUGAUGAUGAUGAUGUUUGGAAUCUUAAUAAGGCGCUGUCAAGGGUGCGGCACGUUAGCCAACACUGUCCAACGAAGAUUAUUAUUAUUUUUUUAUACGAUCAGCUGCAACCAUCUUUAUCAUCAUCAUCAUCAUCAUCAUCAUGAUCA